rnacentral:lncRNA from 1 species
UCAAUCAGAACUUCUUACACUUCGUUCCUAACAGUUUUGACUGGUACAUGUAGGAUGUGAUGUGUUCAUGCAAUUUUAAUUGAGUAAGAAGAAUAAUUAAAAAAUUAAAAUCAAAACACCAGAUGUAAUGUGGUAAAUCCCGAAAGGGAACAUCCACAAACUCCAUGCCACGAGUAAAAUAAUUUACUAAAUCAAAUGAUUAAAAAAUAACAGUCUCAAUUUUGUAAUUUUGCAAAAUUAACAAAAACAAUCAAAAGAUUUCUAAACCUUGUUUUCUUCUUUGAUUUGUUGUAGAAAUGGAAUCAAACAUUCCCGGUCUUGACUUUAUCGUCACUUCACUAUUAUAUUUAACUGCAACCACCCCUCGAAUUAAGAAUUACCAUUCUUAACUUAUGCCAUGCAGAUUAACCAAAAAAUAGGACUGUACAUUAACGCUCUUCGUGUUUGUUUCAAAUACAGUUGAAGAAUGUAGUUUUACUUUGACAAUCUUCAAUAAAGCAUGAAGUCUAUUUGCGCUUUUUACAAUUGGGGUAGCACACGACUGCUCUAGGUCAUGAACUUGUGUGAAUUUUU